ensembl:snoRNA
CCCUCUUGCAAAGGUGUGUCUGUAGUUCCCUGUCUUAGGACAUGUAAGAAUUGGAGCAAAGAAAUGUGGAUUUGGAGAAACUUGGGGUCAGCUUGUUCCCUGCAUGCUUAAGAUCAACCAUCCCACAUAG